rnacentral:SRP_RNA from 1 species
GCUGGGCACGGUGGCUCACGCCUGUAAUCCCAGCUACUCGGGAGGCUGAGGCAGGAGAAUUGCUUGAACCUGGGAGGUGGAGGUUGCAGUGAGCCGAGGUUGUGCCACUGCACUCCAGCCAGGCUGACAGAGCCAAGACUCCCGUCUCAAAAAAAUAAAUAAAAUAAAAUAAAAUAAAANNNNNNNNNNUUUUAUUUUAUUUUAUUUUAUUUAUUUUUUUGAGACGGGAGUCUUGGCUCUGUCAGCCUGGCUGGAGUGCAGUGGCACAACCUCGGCUCACUGCAACCUCCACCUCCCAGGUUCAAGCAAUUCUCCUGCCU